AAUAAGUGCAGUUUUGUAUUAUUCACGUUCAACGUUUGACCGUUCGUCUUAUUUAAAAAUUUUAUAUGAUUAGUAAUUUUUAUUGCUAUUAGAUGAUAAAACAUGAAUAGUACUUUAUGUGUGAUUAAAUAUUUUUAAAUUUUUCGCAAAUUUUUUAAAUAAGACGGAUGGUCAAAUGUUGGGCACGGAUAUCCACGGCUGCACUUAUU
rfam:Oryza barthii chromosome 2, whole genome shotgun sequence.